rnacentral:rRNA from 1 species
GACAGAGGGUGCAAACGUUGUUCGGAAUUACUGGGCGUAAAGCGCACGUAGGCGGCUUCGCAAGUCGGAUGUGAAAUCCCUCGGCUCAACCGAGGACGUGCAUACGAAACUGCGGAGCUUGAGUGCUGAAGAGGAUCGCGGAAUUCCCGGUGUAGAGGUGAAAUUCGUAGAUAUCGGGAGGAACACCAGUGGCGAAGGCGGCGAUCUGGGCAGACACUGACGCUGAGGUGCGAAAGCGUGGGGAGCAAACAGG